rnacentral:rRNA from 1 species
UACGAAGGGGGCUAGCGUUGCUCGGAAUUACUGGGCGUAAAGGGCGCGUAGGCGGCACUGUUAGUCAGGCGUGAAAGUCCGGGGCUCAACCCCGGGAGGCGGGCGGAUACUGUCGGGCUAGAGUCCGGAAGAGGCGAGUGGAAUUCCUGGUGUAGCGGUGAAAUGCGCAGAUAUCAGGAGGAACACCGGUGGCGAAGGCGGGUCUCUGGGCCGUAACUGACGCUGAGGAGCGAAAGCGUGGGGAGCGAACAGG